AGCUCUGAGGUCACUGGACGAUCCACAAACACGGAAACGCGAAGGUGACGUCUCUGCAACACUGGUACUAUGGCUCACCGUACAGCUGUGGGACUUGAGCCCUUGGCGCCACAGUGGCCCUGGACGACAUUAGCACCGGCCAGGGACUGGCUAUGCAGUCCAGGCUGGCCUUGAACUCCGUAUGCGGCUGAAGAUGGCUUCGAACUCAGGCCUCCGAGGGAUUACAGGGGUGCACCACCACACUCAGCUGUAGACCUUGUCCCUGUGUAGAUCCUUGGCGGGUAGUGUGGGGAUCAUGGAGAACAGUGCAGGUCUGGAAAGGGGGAGAGACUCAGCCACAGACCUGGAGAGAGGUGGCCUGGAAGGAGGGACUCUGGCUGUGACCGGUCUGGGAGGGGCAGGAGGACUUGGGGGAUGGGGCAGGAACGGGGGAGUCUCUGGUCCCUGCCCCCACCUUCCCCGGGCAGCUGUUCUUGGGCAGCUGUUCUUAGAGCUGCCCUACUGGGGCUCCAGAGGGGGAGGCUGGGAGCAGCAGGGGGUUCUCUGGGGACCAAACCCCUCCUCCCUAGGGAGCCCCGCCCACCUCGGUCCUCUCCUGCUCCCCUUUCUUUCCCGGCUCCCCUCCCCCUACACCGUUGGUCUGGGGAUGAACUGCCCCGCUGGGCUGAAGUGGGUGACCGUCAGUGGCCUUUGCUUCAGAGGCUGUGACGACUUGGGCUGACACCUGUCCCGCUGCAGGGACCCGGAAGGCCCCUUCAGUGAUGCAGCAUGAAUUUAGGGUCCUCAUUCAUUCCCCUGACAGACUCUGGGUGCUGCUUCCUCCAGCCGGCCUGUCCUGGGUGGCCCUGCUGGCUUAGGUCCACAGCCCUGUGGGAACCCAGUGGAGGGCAGUCACAGGGGCUCCUUUGGGAGCUCUGGGAGGCGCCAUCAGGGACUGAGGAGAGGCUGGAGGGCACCAGGGGAGCCGGGCUGGAAGGACCCCCUCUCUUUGAGGCUCACCAACCACCACACCAGCUCCCACUGCAGAUCAAUAAACUGCUGUUUCUGUUUAAAAAUUA